rnacentral:rRNA from 1 species
AUGGCCAAGUACUUUUGGAGUCUUGACAAAAAGUCGUUGCAUUGGGUGUCUUGGAAGUACUUGGCGACACCCAAGUGCAAGGGGGGUAUGGGAUACCGAGAUCCCCACUUAUUUAACCUUGCAAUGCUUGGAAAACAUGGAUGGCGUUUUCUGACGAGCCCAAAUUCCCUCUGCGCAAGAGUUUUGAAAGGAAGAUAUUUCCCCGACACUGAGUUUAUGCAGGCCUCAGCGCCCAAGUCGGCUUCUGCCACUUGGAAGGCGAUUAUUGUGGGGAAG